rnacentral:rRNA from 1 species
UGAGCCUACGGGGGGCAGCAGUGAGGAAUAUUGGUCAAUGGGCGGGAGCCUGAACCAGCCAAGCCGCGUGAGGGAAGAAGGUACAGCGUACCGUAAACCUCUUUUGUCAGGGAACAAAGGCGGGGACUAGUCCCCGGAUGAGGGUACCUGAAGAAAAAGCAUCGGCUAACUCCGUGCCAGCAGCCGCGGUAAUACGGAGGAUGCGAGCGUUAUCCGGAUUUAUUGGGUUUAAAGGGUGCGUAGGCGGGCUUUUAAGUCAGCGGUAAAAAUUCGGGGCUCAACCCCGUCCGGCCGUUGAAACUGGG